rnacentral:rRNA from 1 species
AUUCUGUGAACCAGAACCAGCAUGAAUCGGAACGGAACUACCAAAAAGCGGAACAAAACAGUCCAAAUGCGUUACAAAACGAGCCAGAAACGAAACAGCCUGAACCAGUAGCGCAACAGGAAGUGGAAAAAGUCUGCACCGCCUGCGGUCAGACCGGCGGCGGCAACUGCCCUGAUUGUGGCGCGGUGAUGGGCGACGCAACAUACCAAGAAACAUUCGAUGAAGAGUAUCAGGUUGAAGUUCAGGAAGAUGAUCCGGAGGAAAUGGAAGGCGCUGAACAUCCACACAAGGAGAACACUGGCGGCAAUCAGCAUCACAAUAGCGAUAAUGAAACUGGCGAGACGGCAGAUCACCCAAUUAAGGUGAACGGUCAUCACGAAAUCACAUCCACCAGCAGGACGUGUGACCAUCUAAUGAUCGACCUUGAAACCAUGGGAAAAAAUCCUGAUGCCCCGAUCAUCUCAAUAGGUGCAAUAUUUUUCGAUCCGCAAACCGGAGAUAUGGGA